AUUGAACGCUGGCGGCAUGCCUUGCACAUGCAAGUCGAACGGUAACAGGUCUUCGGAUGCUGACGAGUGGCGAACGGGUGAGUAAUACAUCGGAACGUGCCUAGUAGUGGGGGAUAACUACUCGAAAGAGUAGCUAAUACCGCAUGAGAUCUACGGAUGAAAGCAGGGGAUCGCAAGACCUUGUGCUACUAGAGCGGCCGAUGGCAGAUUAGGUAGUUGGUGGGAUAAAAGCUUACCAAGCCGACGAUCUGUAGCUGGUCUGAGAGGACGAUCAGCAACACUGGGACUGAGACACGGCCCAGACUCCUACGGGAGGCAGCAGUGGGGAAUUUUGGACAAUGGGCGAAAGCCUGAUCCAGCAAUGCCGCGUGCAGGAUGAAGGCCUUCGGGUUGUAAACUGCUUUUGUACGGAACGAAAAGCCCCGGGUUAAUACCCUGGGGUCAUGACGGUACCGUAAGAAUAAGCACCGGCUAACUACGUGCCAGCCGCCGCGGUAA
rnacentral:rRNA from 1 species